AGGUGGUGCAUGGCUGUCGUCAGCUCGUGUCGUGAGAUGUUGGGUUAAGUCCCGCAACGAGCGUAACCCUUGUCUUUAGUUGCCAUCAUUUAGUUGGGCACUUUAAAGAGACUGCCGGUGAUAAACCGGAGGAAGGUGAGGACGACGUCAAGUCAGCAUGCCCCUUACGCCCUGGGCUACACACGUACUACAAUGGCCGAGACAAAGAGUCGCAAGUUUGCAAAGACAAGCUAAUCUCAUAAACUCGGUCUCAGUUCGGAUUGUAGGCUGCAACUCGCCUACAUGAAGUUGGAAUCGCUAGUAAUCGCCGGUCAGCUAUACGGCGGUGAAUCCGUUCCCGGGCCUUGUACACACCGCCCGUCACACCAUGGAAGCUGUUCAUGCCCAAAGUCGUUACCUUAACCGCAAGGAGAGGGGCGCCUAAGGUAGGGAUAGUGACUGGGGUGAAGUCGUAACAAGGUAGCCCUACUGGAAGGUGGGGCUGGAUCACCUCCU
rnacentral:rRNA from 4 species